rnacentral:rRNA from 1 species
AGUUAACCACAUUAAGCAUUCCGCCUGGGGAGUACGCUCGCAAGACUGAAACUCAAAGGAAUUGACGCGGGACCCGCACAAGCAGUGGAGUAUGUGGUUUAAUUCGAAGCAACGCGAAGAACCUUACCAGGUCUUGACAUCCCCUCUGACCGGUACAGAGAUGUACCUUUCCUUCGGGACAGAGGAGACAGGUGGUGCAUGGUUGUCGUCAGCUCGUGUCGUGAGAUGUUGGGUUAAGUCCCGCAACGAGCGCAACCCUUGAUCUUAGUUGCCAGCAUUUCGGAUGGGCACUCUAAGGUGACUGCCGGUGACAAACCGGAGGAAGGUGGGGAUGACGUCAAAUCAUCAUGCCCCUUAUGACCUGGGCUACACACGUACUACAAUGGCCGGUACAACGGGCUGCGAAGCCGCGAGGUGGAGCUAAUCCUAAAAAGCCGGUCUCAGUUCGGAUUGUAGGCUGCAACUCGCCUACAUGAAGUCGGAAUUGCUAGUAAUCGCGGAUCAGCAUGCCGCGGUGAAUACGUUCCCGGGUCUUGUACACACCGCCCGUCACACCACGAGAGUUUAUAACACCCGAAGUCGGUGGGGUAACCGCAAGGAGCCAGCCGCCGAAGGUGG